rnacentral:tRNA from 1 species
GGCCGGGAUAGGCGAAGACGUCGGCCGGCGCGAUCAGGACGGGCUGGUCGCGGAUCAGGCCCGCGCCCGGCUC